rnacentral:lncRNA from 1 species
ACGUUUUUAUUAUUCAAAUUUAUUUUUCUGAUGCAGAAUUAGUCAAUAUUGAAGUUAAAACUACCUGAACUCAGUCCUGCAGCUUUAUUUCAAACAAACCCCCUGAGUCGUUAUUGAGCAUUUAAUUUAACAGCUUUAUUAAAGUGUAUUGAUUAUUUAUUGAUGGUGUUAUAUGUUUCCUCUGGUUUUACGUGUUUCUGUCUCACUGUAAUGAAAUUAACAUUUUAACUCUGUUUCGAUAAAAAAGUCAAACUUGAAGCUUUUUCUUGACUCGGAGUUUUGAACAUUGAAAAUCUUUUAUUAUUUUUGUGUUGAAUGUUUUUGGUCUGAUCAGACAUUUGCAGGUUAAUCGUCAUUAAUUAAUCCACAGAACCAAAUUUGGAUUUUUAUUGCAGGUUUCUAAUUUUAUUAAUCAGCCUUUGUAUUAACUGGAGCUAAAUUAAAUUAAUGAUCAUCUUUUUAAUCAUUUUUACGCAGAAUUAAAUAUAAUCGACUGGAGCCUAUUUUUAUCAUAUUCAUUGUUAAUAACGAUGAUAAGUAAUUAAUAAUCAAUACAAAUGUUUAUAAUAGGCCACCAUAAUGUUCCCGUAACCUGAGCUGUGUUUGUUCCUGUUAACUUGGAAUAAUCUCAUUGUAGUUAUGAUGCAGGAACAUUAUCACCAAGCGCAUGAGCACUGAUGCUUUUUAAAAUGGUCCUGGUUUCACAGGCUGUGUGGACAUUUGUCAUGAGGUUAAAGUGGGCGGAGUUUGUCGCUUUAUUACUGCAGCCAAUGACGUCACAGGAUGAGGAUGUUCCCACAGGUUGAGCUGAGCUUCAGGUGACACUGACACACUUCAGCCUGGACCAGGAGCAAAGAAACGGUUCAGGGGAAGGUCAGAGGUCACAUGUCAUGGGCUUUCAUAAACCGUUCAGGCCAACAGGGGGCGAUAGACUCUUAUCGUGGUGGUCCUCACUGUUGCAUAAUACAAUGGACCAGAACGGGAGGAGGGUGUGGUGUUCUUCUGCAUGAGCUGCAGCUACAAGUCAUCAGCACCCAGAGAGAAAUCACCUGCUCAGGUAAGUGUCAGAACAGUGUCUGUUGUUUAUAGGUGCACAGUCAGAGUCCCACCUGAAGACUCAAUGAAAAAUAUAUGAAAUAUAAGAAAUGUG